rnacentral:rRNA from 1 species
AACGAACGCUGGCGGCGUGCUUAACACAUGCAAGACGAACGCGAAAGGGACUUCGGUCCUGAGUAAAGUGGCGCACGGGUGAGUAACGCGUAGAUAACCUGUCUUCACGUCUGGAAUAAUACGCCGAAAGGGGUACUAAUACCGGAUAUUCUUGCUUUUCAUAAGUUUUGCAAGGAAAGGUGGCCUCUGAAUAUGCUACUGCGCGAAGAGGGGUCUGCGUACCAUUAGCUAGUAGGUGGGGUAAUGGCCUACCUAGGCUACGAUGGUUAGCGGGUCUGAGAGGAUGAUCCGCCACACUGGCACUGGAACACGGGCCAGACUCCUACGGGAGGCAGCAGUGAGGAAUAUUGCGCAAUGGGGGAAACCCUGACGCAGCGACGCCGCGUGAGUGAGGAAGGCCUUCGGGUCGUAAAGCUCUGUCAAAGGGAAAGAAGUGCAUGAUGGCUAAUACCUGUCAUGUUUGACGGUACCCUUAAAGGUAGCACCGGCUAACUCCGUGCCAGCCGCCGCGGUAACAC